CCUCGUCGUUCCCGGCGGGCUCCGACCGUCUUCAACGGCACUUCUCGGCCGCCCUCGCCGCCCCCUUCUCCACCUCCAUCUGCAGAGGCACACCUCGUUCGCCGGAGGUUGGGGUGGCCGGCGGUCGCGGGCCUCUGGCCCCCUCUGCCCUGCAUCCCUUCGCAGUAGCGGCCGACAAACAAUGUGAGUUUUUUUUGAUAAAUUAGUUAUUAAAGUUUACAUAAUUUAGUUAGUAAUUUAUUUAGAAUAAUUAGCAAAAUUAGUUUGAAAAUUUUAUUUAUACAUUUAGGUUGAUAGGUACUUAUUUACUUAGUUAGCUAGUUUAGGUAAUUUAGUUAGAAGCCUAAUUAUUGAACCUAAUUUAGGACAAUUCACAUAGGUUUCUCUGUUACGUAAUUUUUUCGAAGUUUAACUAUUGAACCUAAUUUAGGUAAUCUAGUUAAUAAUUGUUUCAGUGUUUUUACUAAAUUUAGUUAUUUAUCAGUCUGUUAGUUGUAUAUUAGCAAAUAUAUCUAUAUAUUAGCAAUCCCAAAUCCAAGUACAUGAAGAAUAAUAUACCCUAGUUAGUAAAUUUAGUUAUAUAGUAGUCCUCGUGUUAGUUAUGCAAUUUAGUAAGAUAAAUCUACACAGUAAAUUUAGUUACAUAGUAGUCCUCGUGUUAGUUAGUUAGAUACAUAGUUAGGUGUUUUACUUGUAUUAGUUAUAUCCCUAGUAACUUGGGUGUUGUGCAUAUCAAUUAGAUAGACAAUGUAGUAACUCUACAUCAUGAAGGAAGUGUGGAGGAAGAUCAGUUUGGCAAUGUUUGUUUUGUUGGAAUGCAAAGGGAGCCUUUGAUGUUUGAUGAGCGGCCAUUGUUUUCUUAAUUGAUGGGUAGUGCUCGUGAUGAGCUUAAAUAUAAUUCAAAUGAAGAUGAAAUCUUAGUUGAGGGGUACUUCACCAUGGCCCGUCAGGGACAAUUUUUAGACGGUGGGUACCAAUUGUAUCAGAGGUUCAAUGGGAAAAAUAUGUCAAAACUAUCAUGAAGAAUGAGUUUCAAUGUUUGGAUUUGGUUGUGUGCAAGUUGUCCAAGGAGCCAGCCCCUGUGUAUUCUCCUCCUAAUUGCCAACCACCCCUUGGUGGGUUCUUGCCAGAAUCGGACAAUACGACACCCUCUGCUCUCCCGUUACCCACUCACGAGGUGGGUGUGGAAGAUGUGGUUGUCGUGCCUGAUGCUUAAUCCGGCCCCACUGAGGUUGGAAUAUGUGUUAGUGGUGUUGGUGUUGGCAGCCUAGAGACCUCUAUGACCCAGAAAAUUCCAUGUAAGUGGCGUAGUUACACUUUUCAUUUCGUUAUCAUUCCUUUGUUCCAUUCUGUUGUCUCAAUUGUAUCCAUAUAUGUGGUUUUGUUGUAGGUGACAAUCCAAGUCACUACUACAGAAUGAGGCAUUGGUCGAUGCCUAAAAUGGCCAAAAACCUCGGCCUUUUUGCGGCCCGGGGUUAAAGACCCCUUUAGCACCGGUUUGUGUCACGAACCGGUGCUAAAGGGUCCUGCCCAACGGCUACUGACAUGUGCUGUCGGGGCAGAGACCCUUUAGCACCGGUUCGUGUUACAAACCGGUGCUAAAGGGGUCCCUUUAGCACCGGCCAGAGCCACGGGCCAAGGCAAACCCUUUAGCACCGGUUUGUGUUACAAACCGGUGCUAAAAGGUAACCCUUUAGCACCGGUUUUUUCCCUGAACCGGUGCUAAAGGUCUAGUUUAUAGGCCGGCUCCCUCCUCCCCUCUGCCCAUUUGAAACCGAGAGCACCAUUGUUGUUCUUGGAGCUUCUUCUUGCUUGUUCUUCAUUUGUUCUUCAUCUCCAACGCCCAUCGUUGAUCUUCUUCGACUCCGUCAUCGUCUCUUCGCGCUUAGAGGUGACUAACUUCAGCCUUUCUUGUCUUUUUCAUGUUGUUUUUGGCUUGUGAUGUUCCCAUCAUUUUUUAGCUCAAAUCCACUUUGUUAUUUUGAAUCAUUCACAUGAAUUAGUAUCCAUAUAUAUAUAUCAUAUUUCAUGGUUGACCUAGUUUUAAUGUAUUUUGCAAGAAUGAAUUAUAGUAUAUUUUUAUGAUCAUAGAAAGUAGGAUAGUUCAAAUUAAUUGGUUUGUUAAUAUCACUUGAUUUAUUUUUAUUACUACAUAUAAUGUCCAUUGUAUCAUACAUGUUUACUAGUAAAUGUGGAAUUUAUAAUUGUUUUAAAAUUGAGUAUGGAUAGUAGAUGGCAACCGUGACCGGGUCUUCAGUCUCUCAACGGGUUCAAAAGCGAUACCGUCCGGAACUCCCUCUCAUUACUUGUGGCAAGUGUGGGCAGAAGAUUUUUGUUGACACUUCUUAACGCAACCACCGGAUAUCGGCGACGGCGCCAGAAGUGCCCUGGUAGGGUAACUCUAUUUACUAUUGGAUAAUUCCGCAAGCGCACAGAAUGUACCGCUGUAGCACUUCACCAAGGAGUAUUCCAAGGUAUCGUAAUUUAUAUUUUCCCAAGGGAAAGCGGCUAAGUGUGUUUAACAAAAAGGGGAAUGAGAUUCCUUGAGUUAUCUAGUAUCAACUAGUGAAUAAGGGUGGUAAAUAACGAAUAGGAAGGGUAGUGGUGAAUCCAAGGUCCUAUGCUAAAGGUAAAUGGUAGAGUUAGCUAGGUGGGAGGACAACGAGUGAGUAAAGGACUCCUAUGUAUCUAACUUGACUUCUGUGACUUACUUUAAUAGAUAAUUGCCUUAACUACGCUAGAGCCUUACUAACUGUGUGCGAGGGAUAGCCGAGCUGGUAAGACGCUUAGAAGGUUUUUCACCUAACCCCUUACCGAAAGCGACUAUUGGGCUUAUGGACGCCUUACCUUUUAAGAACUAGCUUGUACGUGAGGAGAACCUAAUGCCGCCCACGAUCUGUCACCUACUAGGGAGUGCGCUCCUACUUUCCGUUCAAGCCAGCGGUAAUCAAAGGUAAUCUUAAGUAUGAGCACCACGCUCACACUUAAUCCUACAACGCUAACUAGUUGCAGCUAGCUAGAGCUCCUAUACAAGAUAGGACGAUGAUGCACACACAGGAGUGGUUACAGGUCACUAACUUCACUAAGACAACUAUAUUACUAAAGUAAAUGCACAACAAGACUAAAAGACUUGCACUAAGUAAGAACUCAGUAAAGUAAAGUAAGAAUAAUAUAUUAAUAAAAGGAAAGUCUUACAAAAGUAGAAAGGUACAAGAGCUAUACCAGACUCUCCAGAAGACGACUCCGGAGACCCCGAGCUUCGCUCGACUCGACUCUAACUCCCACUCU
rnacentral:lncRNA from 1 species